rnacentral:tRNA from 2 species
GGUCCCGUAGCUCAGCUGGAUAGAGCACCGGAUUCCUAAUCCGGGGGUCGUGGGUUCGAAUCCCGCCGGGGUCACCA